UGUGUGAUCCUGCCAAACUUUGCCAACCUGUGUCUCAAUGAGCGAAAGAGGAUGAUAAAGGAAAUUAUCUUGUUCACAUAUUUGACAUCUGCAGACUAUAUAUUCAGACCUAAUAGGGUUUUGAAGCCCCUUUCAUUUUAUAGACGUGGGAACUGAAAUCUCAAGAGAGCUAUCAGACUAACAAUGCAUGUUUGAAAAUCCUAAGUGAAGAGAAGGCAUGACUAUGAACUCAACUACAGACAAUUGUGUUUUCUUCUCUGGAUCUUCAGCACUGGCAGAUACUCAGCAAAUGCGCAUGGAUGGACCUUGAAGACAUGUGAAAUAAGUCAUACAGAGAAAGAUAAAUACCAUAUGAUCUCACUUUUAUAUGGAAUCUAAAAAAACAAACAACAACAACAACAACAACAACAAAACAAGCUCAUAGAUACAGAGAUUAGAUUUGUGGUUACCAGAGGCAGAGAGGGUGGAAGGUGGAUGAAAUGGGUGAAGGAGAUCAAAAGGUACAAACUUCCAGUUAUA